rnacentral:rRNA from 1 species
AGCAGCCGCGGUAAUUCCAGCUCCAAUAGCGUAUAUUAAAGUUGUUGCAGUUAAAAAGCUCGUAGUUGAAUUUCGGGAUCAAUACGUCGGUCGUGCUUAGGUACGUACUGGCGUAAUUGAUUUCUCCCUCCUGACGAACCAUGAUGUCAUUAACUUGGUGUCAUGGGAAAUCAGGACUGUUACUUUAGAAAAAAUUAGAGUAGUUUAAAGCAGGCUCACGCUUGAAUACAUUAGCAUGGAAUAAUAGAAAUAGGACGUUCGAUCCUAUUUUGUUGGUUUUAGGAUCAACGUAAUGAUUAAUAGGGAUAGUUGGGGGCAUUAGUAUUCAAUUGUCAGAGGUGAAAUUCUUGGAUUUAUUGAAGACUAACUACUGCGAAAGCAUUUGCCAAGGAUGUUUUCAUUAAUCAAGAACGAAAGUUAGGGGAUCGAAGACGAUCAGGUACCGUCGUAGUCUUAACCAUAAACUAAUGCCGACUAGGAUCGGAUGAUGUUAAUUUUUAAUUAGACUCAUUCGGCGCCU